ensembl:lncRNA
CUCUUCUCUGUCUCUCUCUCUCUCUCUCUCUCUCUCUCUCUCUCUCUGUCUCUCUCUCUCUCUCUCUCUCUCUCUGUCUCUGUCUCUCCUCUCUCUCUCUCUCUGUCUCUCUCUCUCUCUCUGUCUCUCUCUCUCUCUGUCUCUCUCUCUCUCUCUCUCUCUGUCUCUCUCUCUCAGUGGUGGGAUCCACUCCUGUUCUCUCUUUAACUGGAGCAGGAGGAGGACAGAUAAACGUUAGCUGUCAGUCACAUGGGUGGCUUCCUGAGCCGUCAAUCACCUGGACAGAUAAAGAGGGGAGAGAUCUGAAACAUCUGAGCAAAGACAAGUUCAGCAACAGUUCUGAAGGGGUUGUGGAUGUGUCCUCGUGGCUGAUUGUGUCUCCCUCGGAGUCUGAGUGGAUCUCCUGCUCUGUGGGUUUGUCUGAUCAGGAGAGAAAAGAAGGCAGAAUAAUGUUAUUCGUCCCUGCAGGUGUCACGGGUAAUUCAUACUGAAAAAAUAUCAUUUAUGUCAGGACAUUUUAAAAUGGUGGAAUUGCAGAGAAGACUUCUGGUGAUUUUGUUUAUGUGAAUGUGUGCAGAGUCGUGGAGUGGAUACUUCAUUGUGAUUCCCAUCCUUCUUCUUCUUCUUCUUCUUCUGCUGUGUGCUGCCGGAAUUACAGUGUAUCGUAAAAAAGGUGUGAUACAAAAGUUGACUCUAAUAAUAAUAUAUGAACCAGGAGAAUGAAUAUAAAAUCCAAAUCCAGUCUAAAACUGUAGACUGACUCCAACAAAAAGGUUGGUCUGGUAGACAGACACACGCAUGGAGAUCAGAACAUUGUUACGUGUAACAGUACGGGGUCCUGAUGGUGCAUCACCAAAGAAGACAGUGUAAAGCGCUUUGGAUAAAAGCACUAUAUAACAAUAGUAGCAGAGCUGCACUGCAAGGCAGUGACUUGCCAUCGGGAGCAACUCGGGGUUCAGCGUCGUGCCCAAGGACACUUCAGCAUGUGGAGUCACAUGGGCCAGGAAUCGAACCGCCAACCCUACAAUUAGUGGACGACCCGCUCAACCACCUGAGCCACAGCCGCCCUGUUUUUAGGAAGUCUUUAGCGAGACUUUAGCGGGUCUUUAAGGGGUCUUUAACGGGUCUUUAGCAGGUCUUUGGGCUGCCUAAUUCAGGAGCGUUUUCUCUUUGUUGUAGGUCUGAUUUUUCUCCAAGAGAAAAGGGACAGAAUAUACAGAAGGAACUCCAUCAGAAACUGCACCUCUGAGUAACAUCUGUAUGGAGAGUCAGGAUCAGAAUGAUGCUCCAUCUAUAAUUCCUCAUUCUGUGGUUGUAGAUAUAGAUCAACCUUCUGAGCAAAGGGAAAAAACGCCACCAGCUCCAUGUCCAGGUAAAGUUUUUUAAAGCAGCUUCAUGAACCUCUAACACUCUCGCUAAACGUAUCGGCCUUAAAGGUGUUUCUGGGGGAACGCUUAAAGAUCCUGUGAAUUAUUUUUUUUUACAACAGAGUGUUUCCCAAGUAAAUGAGUUCCAAGUAAAACUAUUUCAGAAAGUUAAGUACCCUUAAUCACUCAAUUAACCCGUAAGGAACCCAGAAGAACCUUAUUGUAUUUGAGUGUUUUAUUUAUAAUAAAAGUUUAUUGGUUUAAAGAAUUUAAAUUAAGUGACACUAGUUCUUCCAUCUCUUCUAUCAAGACCCCAAAUCAGUCCAAUCUGAAUCCUAGAAAAGCUCUAAAUCUGUUUCUACUGAUUUUCUGUUCUGUGUUUGUGAGAGCAGAUCUCAAUCAGCAGAAAUCAUCUGAACAGCAGAAUCCUGAAGAAGUGAAAGAAACCCCACACGUUGCAGAAUCCAGAGAAGAGGACCCAGGAUCCUGCUCCUCCUCACCAGGGUUCUCCACUGCUGGUUCAACCACUGAUAAACCAAACUUCACUCCCACCACCUCAAAUCCCACACCUGCUGCUACCAUCUCAGAGUCUGCCACUGUCUCCACAACAUCUGCAGGAAGUUUCAGCUCAGCCAAUAAACAUCCUACCAAAAAUGCUGAAAGAAAAAGAAAAAACACCAAAGGGAGAAAGAACAAAGACAGAGCAAAUGAAACAGAAAGCUCUUUUAACAAAGCUAAAGCAAGAGAAAUCAGUACCAGGACAUUUAACAUGGAAAGCAAAGCAGACUGCUCUGAGUCCAAGCAUCUCUGUAAGCAAGAAGCAGUAGAGAGUGAAGAUUUGGUCCAAGUGAAAAAAUUCAAAGUGAACAUCACCAUCGACGGAGAGGAAACUCCAGAGUUCCUGACACACGAGGAAAGGAGGUGAAGUGCUCCACUCCAGUGAAUACAUGGGACAGAAAUCCUGAUGAUGAUAAAAUCUUCACUCUGUGUAAAGAGAAGUUUCACUGUGGUAAACGUUAUUGGGAGGUGAAAGUGAGAGCGUCACAUAAAGAAGAGAAACUGUCCUGGUUCGUUGGUGUAGCGAGUGAUGCAGCUGAGAGAAAGUACAGCGUCCCGUUUACACCACACAAUGAACUCUGGGUUCUCUGCUAUGAAAGAGAAACAGGGCUUUAUAUCGGAGACGAAACAGAACGCAUUUCAGUCCCAGACGUUAAUAAAGAGCUCACAGCAGUGGGAGUGUUUUUAGACUGUGAUAAACACACACUGUCAUUUUAUAAUAUUGAUACACAAUCACACAUCUACACUUUCACUAACGUGGAGCCCAAAACACCUCUGCGUCCUCUGAUCAGCCCCGGAGUCCGAGACAGUCAUCCUGUACGCAUUCUUUAGUAAAGUAAUCUUAUCUGUAUUUCUAUCAUUUGUGAUUAUGAAGUGUACGUAACACAUUCACAACAUCUUCCAUCUCUGAAUAGUGAAAUGAUUCCUCACAGCUGUAAAUACGCUCCUUUAGUACGGCUUACUGUAGUUAGAAAAUACAUUUUUAUGAUAUCGUUACUGAUAUGACAAUAAAGUGUGGACAUGUAAGUUUGCUGCUUUACUGUCGGUUUUCUGUUUUGCUUUGAACUUUGUGAAUGAUUUCAUUAAAAUGGAACAAAUUUUAUAUAUAUAUAUAAAAAAGAGACAUUGCUGUAAUUUCUUGUUUUGUGUGUAAAGUAAGUAGAAGAUGACUGUGGCAGGUUUAACACUUUUAUUAACACAAACUGCAGUAGUUCGUCAGAAUUCAUAUUAUACAUUUCUGUAUAAAGUAUCAUUUGGUUUUGAAAUUCUGAUAUUUAACAGAACUUUAAACACGCAGUAGAGAUGUAUAAUCUGCACUUUAAUCUAGUACAAUAACACAAAGGCCUAAAUAAUCAGAUAUGGCACAUACUAUUAGACUGUCUUGUGCUUCUUUAAUAAUAGAUGUAAUAUAUAAGGAAUAAACAGUGUGCGUUUGUACAGUAAAAUGAUGAAGCACUGUCACGAUUUCAAGGCAGAGACGGAUACCAGUGCAGAUUUACUUUUAAUUAAUAGCACAACAAAACAAGAACUAUAAACACGAUGCAAAACACUGAGGCAAAGACUAAACAUAAACCAAAGACCUUAAACACAGCAGCAUAGACAACGGCAAAGGAAAACAAACGUCAGAUACAGAGUGCAGUGUAAACUGUGCUAUACACAGGAGUGCUUGUUAACAAGAAUGUGAUUCAGGUGCAGGUGGUCACGUGACUGUGAUGCAGUGAGGUGCAGUGGCUGCUGGGAACUGUAGUUCAGAGUUCCUUCUCUAAUACAUGACACAGACUUACA